rnacentral:tRNA from 1 species
GGGGCGGUAGCUCAGCCGGUCAGAGCAGAGGACUCAUAAUCCUUGGGUCGUGGGUUCGAGCCCCACCCGCCCUACGA